GGAAGGAUCAUUAUUGAAAUAAACCUGAUGGGUUGUUGCUGGUUCUCUAGGGAGCAUGUGCACACCUUGUCAUCUUUAUAUCUCCACCUGUGCACUUUUUGUAGACCUUUCAGGUCUAUGUUGCUUCAUUUACCCCAAUGUAUGUUAAUAGAAUGUUGUGCCUAUAUAAUAUAUACAACUUUCAGCAACGGAUCUCUUGGCUCUCGCAUCGAUGAAGAACGCAGCGAAAUGCGAUAAGUAAUGUGAAUUGCAGAAUUCAGUGAAUCAUCGAAUCUUUGAACGCACCUUGCGCUCCUUGGUAUUCCGAGGAGCAUGCCUGUUUGAGUGUCAUUAAUAUAUCAACCUUCUCUUUAUUGAGUUGUUUGGAUGUGGGGGUUUGCUGGCCUCUUAAAUGAUUCAGCUCCCCUGAAAUGCAUUAGCAGAACAACCUGUUCAUUGGCGUGAUAAUUAUCUAUGCUAUUGAAUGUGAGGGCAGUUCAGCUUUCUAACCGUCCUUGGACAAUUUAUCAUUAAUGUGACCUCAAAUCAGGUAGGACUACCCGCUGAACUUAAGCAUAUCAAUAAGCGGAGGAAAAGAAACUAACAAGGAUUCCCCUAGUAACUGCGAGUGAAGCGGGAAAAGCUCAAAUUUAAAAUCUGGCGGUCUUUUGGCUGUCCGAGUUGUAAUCUAGAGAAGUGUUAUCCGCGCUGGACCGUGUACAAGUCUCCUGGAAUGGAGCAUCAUAGAGGGUGAGAAUCCCGUCUUUGACAUGGACUGCCAGGGCUUUGUGAUGCGCUCUCAAAGAGUCGAGUUGUUUGGGAAUGCAGCUCAAAAUGGGUGGUAAAUUCCAUCUAAAGCUAAAUAUUGGCGAGAGACCGAUAGCGAACAAGUACCGUGAGGGA
rnacentral:misc_RNA from 1 species